rnacentral:lncRNA from 1 species
CAUCAUGUCAUCUUGCUUAAGGCGUUACUCCGUGAUGGGGUUAUAGUCCUAGGGUAGGGUCAUAAGCCUGCCUUAUAGGUCCUACCCAAGGACUACCCUUCAUAAGGGACAAGGCCCUUAGUCAGCUCCGACUGAACUAAGGAGUUCCCAUCAUCCAGUCGGUAACAGACAUCCGACCAUCCAGUCGAAGGCAAACAUUCGGAGCGUAUCGAACGGACCGACUGGAUUCUACUCUGUACAUCGUAACCCCCCAGGAGGAAAAUGGUCGUACGUUUCCUCACGCUUUUAUUAGCAUUUAGGCCGUACGUUACCUGUAACGUAGGCAUUUAUUCGCCAUUAUUCCAUCCCUGUGCACCAACCGUUGUGAAGGGCAGCGCACUCUAUAUAAGCCACCCUUCCCCACUGGUGCAAGGGUUAGCAACUCACUGUGUUCUAUAUUCUACUCGACAACAAGCUCAUAGAGCACUGAGACGUAGGGCUAUUAUCUCCACCGCAGAGGGGCCUGAACUCAUA